UGGAUCCAACACAGUCGCAAGAGUCCAGUCCAAAGCGGAUCCAACACAGCAGCGAGAGUCCCGUUCACAGCGGAGCCAGCAGGAAACCAUCCCAAGCGGAGGCGGAUCAGCAUCGCAGAGAUGUCCCCAGCCGAUACACAGGCAAACAUAUGUUGUCUUUGUAGCAUAUUCAACUGAAUAUGGGUUGAAAAUGAUUUGCAAAUCAUUGUAUUCUGUUUAUAUUUACAUCUAACACAAUUUCCCAACUCAUAUGGAAACGGGGUUUGUACUUAAUUUAAUAAUUAUUUACAUUUAUGAAAGAGUAAUUCUGUUUGUAAUAUAAUUUUUAGUCAAGUAACGACUAUUAUUAUUGCUUUUUAAAACAGAUAUUCCAAACAUUGUUAAUUGAUAAACUGUUUUAUCAGGAUAUGGUGUAUUUGCUCUUGCAUCAAUUUAAAAAGGUUCUUUUGUGGUCGAGUACCGAGGGAAGUUCAUCUCAAGACAUGAGCGGGACAAGAGACAGAAACCCUCUAUAAAUAUCUUUACUAUUUAUCUGGCAUUAUAUGCUCAUAAUGUUAACAACAAAAAGUGCUGAUAAUGUUAUAAUUAAUAAGUUCUAACAUUAUUUUUAUGUGUUUUGUUGCAGACACCAACUGUUGAUGUUCUAUCUCAACAUUCUCCAGAUUCAUGUGACCGAUAAACCGACUUCAUCCCUCCAACAGACACCAACUGUUGGGGUUCUAUCUCAACAUUCUCCAGAUUCAGAUGUGAGCGAUAAACCGACUUCAUCCCUCCAACAGAAACCAACUGUUGAGGUUCCAUCUCAACAUUCUCCAGAUUCAGAUAUGAGCCAUUAACUGACUUCAUCCCUCCAACA